rnacentral:rRNA from 1 species
AUGGCGGCCCGCAACCGGAGCUUCGUGCUGUGGCUGCACGGCCUCGGCGACUCCGGCCCCGCCAACGAGCCCAUCCGCACCUUCUUCGCCGCGCCGGAGUUCCGCCACACCAAGUGGGCGUUCCCCUCCGCCCCCAACUCCCCCGUCUCCUGCAACAAUGGCGCCGUGAUGCCAUCAUGGUUCGAUAUCCACGAGCUUCCUUUGAGCCCUGGUUCGCCGCAAGAUGAGAGCGGUGUUCUUAAGGCUGUGGAGAAUGUGCACGCCAUGAUCGACAGGGAGGUGGCCGGCGGCAUCCAUCCUGACAACAUAUUUGUGUGCGGGUUCAGUCAGGGAGGUGCUCUGACAUUAGCAAGUGUUUUGCUUUAUCCGAAGACGCUAGGUGGUGGUGCCGUGUUCAGUGGCUGGGUCCCUUUCGGUUCGUCGGUCAUUGAGAGGAUUUCACCCGAAGCAAGGAAGACACCUAUUCUGUGGUCGCAUGGAAUAGCUGAUCAAGUGGUAUUAUUUGAAGCCGGUCAGGCCGGCCCACCAUUUUUGCAAAGUGCAGGCAUCAGUUGUGAAUUUAAGGCAUACCCAAAUCUAGGCCACUCGAUCGCAAAGGAAGAGCUAUCCUCUCUCGAGGCGUGGAUCAAGGGUCGUCUCAAAGCCUUGCAAGAUAAGCAAAGUUAA